rnacentral:rRNA from 1 species
GUAGGGAAUAUUGGACAAUGGGCGCAAGCCUGAUCCAGCCAUGCCGCGUGCAGGAAGAAGGCCUUCGGGUUGUAAACUGCUUUUGUACGGAACGAAACGGUCCUGGUUAAUACCUGGGGCUAAUGACGGUACCGUAAGAAUAAGCACCGGCUAACUACGUGCCAGCAGCCGCGGUAAUACGUAGGGUGCAAGCGUUAAUCGGAAUUACUGGGCGUAAAGCGUGCGCAGGCGGUUUUGUAAGACAGGCGUGAAAUCCCCGGGCUCAACCUGGGAAUGGCGUUUGUGACUGCAAAGAUGGAGUGCGGCAGAGGGGGAUGGAAUUCCGCGUGUAGCAGUGAAAUGCGUAGAUAUGCGGAGGAACACCGAUGGCGAAGGCAAUCCCCUGGGCCUGCACUGACGCUCAUGCACGAAAGCGUGGGGAGCAAACAGGAUUAGAAACCCCUGUAGUCC